GUCUACGGCCAUACCACCCUGAAUGCGCCCGAUCUCGUCUGAUCUCGGAAGCUAAGCAGGGUCGGGCCUGGUUAGUACUUGGAUGGGAGAAUGGGCAUCCCUGUCGUGUUCC
rnacentral:rRNA from 1 species